AACAUUCCACGAAAUUCAUAUGUAAAGCUCAGAAUCAGUAACAUAGGCAGGUGUGAUGUCUUCUAAGCCGAUUUCAACUCGAAUUUUCAUUAACAACACAGGCAGAUACAAAUUUAUAUGGUUUAGAGACAACCAGUUAAAGUGCAAAUCUUAGGACAAGAAAGCAGACCAUAUCUUUCUUUUUUUCACACGGGACUGAUUUAACCAAAUCAUAACCGUGGUAGCUAAGUUCAAACAGAGAGCAAACUCCUCAACUCGACCUUUAAUCUCAUAACAUUACACUCUUAGUUACAUGAACAUGUAGAAAUUUCAAACAAGAAUAGUGAACUGAUUUC
rnacentral:lncRNA from 1 species